rnacentral:rRNA from 1 species
AACGAACGCUGGCGGCAGGCCUCAAACAUGCAAGUCUAGCGGGCGUAGCAAUACGUCAGCGGCGGACGGGUGCGUAACACGUGGGAACGUACCCUUUGGUUCGGAACAACGCAGGGAAACUUGCGCUAAUACCGGAUGUGCCCGAAAGGGGAAAGAUUUAUCGCCAAAGGAUCGGCCCGCGUUCGAUUAGCUAGUUGGCGGGGUAAUGGCCCACCAAGGCGACGAUCGAUAGCUGGUCUGAGAGGACGAUCAGCCACACUGGGACUGAGA